rnacentral:misc_RNA from 1 species
GAAAUUUAAAAAUAAUUUUUAUUAUUUUGUGAAGUAAAAAUAUUUUUUUCUUGAUUUUAGAAAUAAAAUAUGAUAAAAUAAUAUUGUUUUUAAUACUUAGUUUAUCCUUUUAUUGAAAAUAAAAAUUUUACGUUAGAAAAAUUAAGAAAAUUUGGAAAGAGUUUAAUAAUUAUUUUUCAUCAUUGUUUAACGUGUAAAUUUAUUUUUAAUAAAUUGUGUAAAAAAUAUUAAAUAAAAGCAUAAUUACUUUAAAAAGGUGCAGAUUGUUUGUCAGUUAUUUUGGUUAAUAAUCUCUCAUCUAUUGUUGAUCGCUAUAAUUAGCGGACAUUAAUUAGAAAAUCAUGAUUAAAUUAAAUUUUUUUGUUUUUCAAAAAUUUUAAAAAACAUAUUUCUUUGUUGGGAGGGAAAAAAAAAAAGAAGAAGAGAGCAAAAUUCAUUUUUUUUUUAGUUAAUUGGAAAGAAAAUAAAAAAUUAAAGGGGAAAAAUAAUUUAAUUUUGAUGUUUUUUAUAUUUUAUUUUUUAUUCAUGGGAAAAAAUAAAUAAUAAAAAAUAAGAAUAAUUUUUUUCUUUUAUUUUUCUUAUUGAAAACAGUGUAAAUUAAAAAAAGAUAGUACCGAUGAGUAUUGUGGGCUAGGCAGAUUAUAGUAGAUUCAAAUAAAGGCUUAAUCAGCCCAUUGGAAGGAUAGGGCAUGACCCAAAUUACAAAUGGCUUAGCUACUAAUACCAAUCCCAACCCACAAUUAAGUCUAAGCCCAUUAAAAAAAAAAAAGAAACUAGCAGAGGCUGGUAUUGUGCCUAGACCCCCAACCCAAAAAGAAGGUGCAACAGCGCCGCUUUUACCAUGGACAAAUGAGGAGCUGUGCCUCAUUGGAUUUUCAUUCUCCAAGGAAGGUUUAAUCUUCUGAAGCGUAUCGCCUGGGGGCUACUCAAAGGGAAAACCCCAAGCAACAACCACAUCCAAAUGAUUGAAUAAAAGCUAGGCAAAGAGUAGAUAAACGGCCAUGGAAGAAAGAAGCCACAAGCAAGUCAGCCCAUUCAAAUGCGGGUGCCAUGAUAGAGCUCCAUAGCCACUGGGCUUGAGGAUCUGCUGCCAGAACCAAGUCCACGCAAAGAUCCUUGGAGGUGUCAUCGCCAAGAAAGGUAAAGGCCCUCCCCGUUGAGCAAAAUCAAAGUAAUCCAAAUCUCAAAGCACCAAUGGCCAACCCACUGCACAGAUCCAGCAAAGAAACUCUCUGUGUUCUGCUCAUGAUCUGAAAAAAAAAAAAAAUGUAUAUAUAUAUAUAUAUACACAUCCAGAAGGGAAACUAAAGGAGCUGGGGAUUAGUAACCCAGCUAGCUUAUAAAUCACCCUUGCUAGUGUUACAAGCUAACCAGUUGGCACAAUGGUUUGCUGAACAGGGAAAGUGACACACAUUCACAACUUGUAAUAAGAGAACAGAAACAACUUAACCUCCUGAAUAAUGGCCAUAAUCUCUCAAGCAAUGGACUCUGGAGAAGAGGAAAUAAAAUUUUUAAGUUGAAGAGAAUCCAAUUCAAUGUACAAUCAACCAAAUUCCUACUAGCAGCAAACUAAAUCGCCGCCCAAAGACCAAUGCCUUCCGCCGCAAGAGGAGAAAUUCAAACUUUGCAGAAAAACCAUUUCAUAAGAGAGCCCGCAGAGUCCCUGAUUGAGAAAUCAAAAGCAACCUCUGACGAAGAGCCAAUAAAAGAUACAUCAACAUUUAUCUUUAGUUUAUCCGGAUCUAAGGGAGACCAAAGAGAUUAAGCAAGAGCUCUGGAUGAAGAUAAAAGCAAAGAAUAAGGUUGUGGAAUGGUCAAGUGAAGCAGUUCACCAAUCCCAUUCUUAGCUUUUCUAAGAGUGAUAACUGGAUCUAGUCACACAUCAAUGAAAACAGCAUUUGAUGUCUUACACUACGUGUUUACACAAUAGGAUUCAAUAUUCAUCAUAUAUUUUUAAUAAUUAAAAAAAAUUUUAAAAAUAAUGUGC